AAAGUCUAACCUGCCCUAUGAUGAUUUAUUAAAUGGCCGCGAUAUUUUGAUCGUGCAAAGGUAGCAUAAUAAUUAGUUUUUUGAUUGUGAACUGGUAUGAAUGGUUGAACGAGAAAAUAACUGUCUUCAAUUUAAUUUAAAUUAGAAUUUUAUUUUUAAGUUAAAAAGCUUAAAUAUUUUUAAAAGACGAGAAGACCCUAUAGAGUUUUAUAUAGCUUUUUAUAUUAAAAAUUUUUAGAAUAUAAAAGUUUAUUAUGGGGGGUUAUAUUUAGUUGGGGUGACUAGUAAAUUUAAUUAACUUUUUUUAAAUAAUUACAUUAAUUUAUGAUUAAAUGAUCCA
rnacentral:rRNA from 1 species